rnacentral:rRNA from 1 species
UACAGAGGGUGCAAGCGUUAAUCGGAAUUACUGGGCGUAAAGCGUGCGCAGACGGUUGCGUAAGUCAGAUGUGAAAGCCCCGGGCUCAACCUGGGAAUUGCAUUUGAGACUGCGUAGCUAGGGUGCGGAAGAGAGAAGCGGAAUUUCCGGUGGAGCGGUGAAAUGCGUAGAGAUCGGAAAGAACACCAACGGCGAAAGCACUCUGCUGGGCCGACACUGACACUGAGAGACGAAAGCUAGGGGAGCGAAUGGG